rnacentral:rRNA from 1 species
AUUGAACGCUGGCGGCAUGCCUUACACAUGCAAGUCGAACGGUAACAGGUCUUUCGGGAUGCUGACGAGUGGCGAACGGGUGAGUAAUACAUCGGAACGUGCCUAGUAGUGGGGGAUAACUACUCGAAAGAGUGGCUAAUACCGCAUGAGAUCUAUGGAUGAAAGCAGGGGACCUUCGGGCCUUGUGCUACUAGAGCGGCCGAUGGCAGGUUAGGUAGUUGGUGGGAUAAAAGCUUACCAAGCCUACGAUCUGUAGCUGGUCUGAGAGGACGAUCAGCCACACUGGGACUGAGACACGGCCCAGACUCCUACGGGAGGCAGCGGUGGGGAAUUUUGGACAAUGGGCGCAAGCCUGAUCCAGCAAUGCCGCGUGCAGGAUGAAGGCCUUCGGGUUGUAAACUGCUUUUGUACGGAACGAAAAGUCUUGGGUUAAUACCCUGGGAUCAUGACGGUACCGUAAGAAUAAGCACCGGCUAACUACGUGCCAGCCGCCGCGGUAAAAC